GGGAUUUACAGUGAUAUAGUUUCUUAGUCACUUUAUUUGGAUAGUCUGGAUAGAUGCUCUACAGUGGUCAUGAUAUCAACACACUUCCUGUUGAUAAGUUACUGCUUUUUCUUUACUCUUUCUACUAUUUUCCCUGUACCUUGACACAGCUCUCUCUCCACAGAGUGUCCAUCCUGACCCUAACUGGGACACACACACCACUGAAAAUGAGGAUCAGACACUCUGGCUUGACACGUUCACAUCUCUUCAGAGAGACGCUCAGCACUCCGUGUAUCAGACCAUCCAGGGAAGAGAACCACCACGGAACCUGGAGGGAAGAGAACCACCACAGAACCUAGAGGGAAGAGAACCACCACAGAACCUGGAGCGAAGAGAACCACCACAGAACCUGGAGCGAAGAGAACCACCACAGAACCUGGACUGAAGAGAACCACCACAGAACCUGGACUGAAGAACUAUGGCCCCAAAUCAAAGCCAGUCCUUACACCUCUAUUCUCUUGCUAAUAUAUUGUUAUAAUAUCUUGAAGUUUCACCCAAAUGACAAAAUGACACAUUGGUUUCCCUUCCCUUUUAUCAGUCUAUGAACAUGGUGUGACAUCAGUCCCUGCUUUGGUUUAGUUUCCCCUGACACUGUUUCCACUUGCUAACGUUUUAGCAUUCGUGGCACAAAUCCCAUUCAAGUAAUGUGACUGUUAAGAGGCAUUUCUCGCACAUAAUUUUAAAAUCAAUCAAAAUAUAUUUUUUAAAUGCGUUGUGAAGCUCAACAAAGUCACUUCCAGAUGAUUUGAACAUGAUGAGAGAAUGUUAAUAUGUGAAAUAUUAAUAUCAGUCCUGUGACUUGAAUGGGAUUUUUGUAAAUGUGGGAGUGUUCGACUUUGCACCCGACUUUAUAGGCAAGUCGAGAUCUACAAAUCACCUUGAAUGAUGAAUAACUACUCAAUAUUAUUUAUAGAUCAUUCAGUCAGUCACAAUGUACCCAUGAUACAUCAGUUUUGAUGCUCUCGAACACUGUCUGUGUGACUACUGAUGUCAUGUUUUGUCAUAUAUUGUCUUGUCCUUGUGCUUUCCCUUCUGUUCGUUUCCCCCUGCUGGUCUUAUUAGGUUCGUUCCCCUUUUCUAUCCCUCUCUCUCCCCCUCCCUCUCUCUCUUCUCUCUAUCGUUCCGUUCCUGCUCCCAGCUGUUCCUCAUUCUCCUAACUCACUCAUUUACUCUUUUCACACCUGUCCCCUAUUUUGCCCUCUGAUUAGAGCCCUAUUUCUCCCCUUGUUUUCCGCUUCUGUCCUUGUCGGAUCCUUGUAUGAUGUUCGCUGUGCUGUGUCCUUGUCUCGCCCUGUCGUGUUUUGUCUCCUUCAGAUGCUGCGUGUGAGCAGGUGUCUUAGUCUGCUACGGUCGGUGCCUUCCCGAUGCAACCUGCAGUCAAUGGUCGAGUCUCCAGUCUGUCCUCGUUACUACGAGUGGAUUUAAGUUUUUUCCUGUUUUGUUUUCUUCUUGAUUUUUCCAGGAUUAUUACUUUUGUCAUAUACUGGAAUAAAGACUCUGUUUUCGUUAA